UGGGUGAUCUGCCCUGCACUUUGGGAUAAGCCUGGGAAACUGGGUCUAAUACCGAAUACACCCUGCUGGUCGCAUGGCCUGGUGGGGGAAAGCUUUUGCGGUGUGGGAUGGGCCCGCGGCCUAUCAGCUUGUUGGUGGGGUGAUGGCCUACCAAGGCGACGACGGGUAGCCGGCCUGAGAGGGUGACCGGCCACGCUGGGACUGAGACACGGCCCAGACUCCUACGGGAGGCA
rnacentral:rRNA from 1 species